rnacentral:ncRNA from 1 species
GCCUCGGGGCGCCGCCAUGUGAAGGUGGCUGAGACGGACCCGCGGAACCUGAUCCGGCUCAUACCGGCGGAGGGAAGG